UUAACCACCGCCUGUUCAUCCCAAAAAUUCCCUGCCUCUUCGAAUUUGGGCCUUUGUCUUCAUCGACAACUUUCUCAAUUCCUCGAUCCGUCACCUCCACCAAAAACCUACUUCUCGGUUCCAACAAGUUCUUACACUCUUAAUUCGACCCUAAUGAGCUGAGGAUUUAGGGUUCUUACCUCCCAGUUAUCAAUUUGAGCCGAUGAUUUAGGGUUCCUAAAUCCGACCCUAAUUUUUUCUAUCUCACUCUCGUAUUUCCAUCUCAUCCCUCUCGCCUGGUUCAAAACACGUAAGGGGCGACAAACACACUAUUUAUUUGCAUAUUUUGGUCUUCACCAAGAUCUGGUUUCCAUGUAAGCUUUAUGUUUCGAGCCCAAACUAUCCUCACGCGAUGUCAUCAUCUUCUCUUACUUACGCAUCUACACUCGGUGGUUCUUUGUCUAAAAGCACCACUCCCGAACCUCAAAUCGUGGCUACGCUCCAUGAACACCACACGCUGCUCGGUUUUGGAUUUGUUAGGGCUUGUUUCAUCCAUUCAUUGCCUCCCUAACACAAGUGAUCUUAUAACUCUGCAAAAUCUACAUCCUUCAAUCAUCUUUUCUAUAUCUUCAUAUGAUACAAGCUCUUCAGAUACUCUGGUCAAAGACAUCACUGGCUCCCCUCCCGUCGCUGCGGUCGGUCUUCCUUCUCCUCGCCGCCGUCGCCGCUGCUUCCUCCACCCUCGUCGGCGUCAGACCUUCUUUCUCCUUGCCAACGUCCUUUUCUUCCUUCCUGUCGCCGGCAUCCUGAACUCGUUUGGCCUGGACUAUUUGGGCACGAAGUUUCUAGGGUUCUUGGUGGUGGUCUGGUACCUGGUUCUUUGAUUUUGAUUGGUGGUGAUCCAGGUGUCGGGAAGAGUACACUAAUGUUACAGAUCGCAGCCAUUAUAGCAGAAGGGAGAGAAAUCGGUAAACCAGCUCCUGUGCUUUAUGUCUCUGGAGAAGAGAGUGUUGAGCAAAUUGGAAACAUAGCAGAUCGUAUGGAAAUCGACACAGAAGAAUUGUUCUUGUAUUCAAGGACAUUUUGGGAAAAGCUCAAGCUCUCUCUCCACGUGCCCUAAUCAUAGAUUCAAUCCAAACAGUUCAGCUAAUGGGAGUAACUGGAAGUGCUAGUGGUAUCUACCAGGUUAAAGAAUGUACAGCAGCCUUGUUGCGUUUAGCUAAGAAGACAGAUAUACCCGGUUAUAGCCAUAUGAUGACGUUGCAUUUCCAGACCUUGUAUUAACCGAAUGUUGUAUAGGAAAUAAGAGUCACUUCUGUGUGAUGUUUUCUGUGGAAGUUAGUUCAGGGUAUUUCUCAGCAAACCUGCCAGCUGAGCUUACAAGCACAACUGAAUUAAAGUUAAAGAAUAGCAAUAGCAAUCAGUGGCAACCCCUUCUUACAUUUAUUGAAAUCUCAAGACGUUUUUCUCUCAAAGCAAAAGCCAUUAGAUUCCGGGGAACAAUUGAAGAUUGCAACACUCUCCUCCAACAAAUCCUUUAUCAUGGUGAUGAGGAAGGUGGGGUGCUUACAGCGAGUGUUAAUGAUAUGGGGUGGUAUGGAUGUUAUCCAGAAGAUUGUGAAGAGAUGAUGUCAGCGCCUCUUAUCUCUGAGGCCACCAUUAACUUGAUAAGAAAGAUGCCUGUCGAUCUGAUGGUUACUCACUACAAGUUACACCUUUAUGCUGCUUUUUGAUACUAAUCGAACAGGGAAUGGAAUUGACCAUUCCGAUUCCUUCGUCCAAUGGGGAAGGGUGUUUUUUUUGUGUUCACUCACUCUUUGAUGAAAUGGAAUGAUUUUGUUAUAAUUAUCAAUUACUUUCAUCCAUAUAAUCAUCAAUAACAAUAAUAUACUUAAAAAGUUUCAAAACUUCAAUUAAAUUAUUUUUUGGUAUUUUUCUAAAAGUAAGUAAAAAUAUUUUUCUAAUAGUAGUUUUAUUUAAAGAUUUUAUUAUGUAUCUUAUUAAGUUAUUUCUGUAAACACUUUUUUUAAGUGAUGAAAUUCAUUCCAUUUCCUCUAGCCAACUAAACAUGAUAAUGGAAUGUAAUGAUCUAUUCCAUUAUGUUGAUUCCAUUCUGUUGUGAUUGAUUCCAUAGAUAAUUAUUUAACUGAUAAUUAUUUCAUUACAUAAUGUACAGCUUUUAUGUCAGCGGUUUUGAUCGAAGCCAUUACACUCACAUUAUUGGUUGCGUUACUAAUAUUUUUCACAUGUAAAUGUGUAUUUAUCCUCCUACACAAAAAGAUCAAAAAUCAACCUCAACCUCAAUCUCAAAAUUUACAGCACAUGUCAAGUACAAAAGACUCAUCUGAGAAUAUAACUGGACAGCCUUCUGGCUUAUCUAAACGGUUGCAUGAGGAAUCAAAAUUGGGCUAAGUGUUGAUUCUUACAUGUCGUUCCCAAUUGGAGAAAAUUAGUGGAACUCCAUCUGUAACCGUAUUUUUCCAACUUCUUUUGGUAUGUAUGUAUGGAUAUAGUCUUUAAAUCAGUUAAUUGUAGAGAUAUUGAUUUUAAAUCCUUGGUGGUGUUAGUUGUGGAUAUCUCUAUGCAAACCUGCCAGCUAAGCUUACAUGUUGGUGGAAUUGUUAUGGAGUUUAUUCAGGAUCUCAUCCAGAAACAACAUUCAAUUACAUGGUUUUGGGUGUUAUUACUAGUUUUUGUUAUUCUUGUAGUGAUCACAAUUCUGAGUUUAUACUCUCAGCACUAAAUCUAUCGUGUUUCACUUACUAUGGUAUGGUCGGCUUUUCAUUAUCAGCCACAGAUCUUGAUUCAUUACAGCCUAUCCAAUUAGGGAGUCGUACCCGUAUCAGAAGCAACCAAAGCUUGUUGAAUUGAUGAUCAAGGCUUUCAAACUCAGAUUUUGUGAGGUUUCUUUCAGGGUUUCCUAUAGAACUUGAAAGAAAAUGCCCUUUAUGAGUUUGACAAGUUUGAAUUUGGUUGAAAGAAAGGUUCCCUGAAGAAUUGUUCCAGAUAUCUGGGGAGUAUCCUUAUAUUCUUAUACUCAUUUCUCAUCUUCCAUUAUUAUAUUUAUAGUAUAGGUGAAAGAAAAACAAUUUGUUUUUUUUCUUAACUGUAUCUUCUUCUAGCAUGAAUACCAAUUGCACUAUUACUCCAUUAUUUGAGAAGGUUCUGAGUAACUUAUUUAUAGUAUACUUUUUUUUCUUCAAAAAACUAGUCACAAAACACCACGUUACAAUAAGCUCAAAAAAACAAGUCAGUUUUUACACAUGAAACAGAGCCUAAACCACAAUAAGCAUAAACCAUUUUGUACAAUCUAAACACUCAAAGUAACUUAUUAGCAGUACCAACCGCAAUGAGCUAACACUUUAAAUAAGAAAAUUCCAAACACUCCCUUACUAGAUAAAAUCAUGUCCACUUUAAAUAAGCUAAUUUCUUUUUACUACAACACUACAUGGAGAGUUAACUUAUGGGAAGAUUGGGGAAUGGCGUUUUGACAAAAGGUCAUAUCUUCGAGACUUUGUGCAGUUUCUAUGAGUAGUUACUUAAAGUGUGGAUACAAGGAAACAAAGCUGCAACUAUGAAGCCAUAUAACUUGCUAGGACAUGCUAUAACUUUUAUCAGUCCACACCAAUAAAGUUGGCUAGAGAAAACUACUUCCUCCAUUCAGGGCAGCUAAUGUUCAAGUCAUUAUUUGUCAUCUACACUCAAUGGACAACAACCAAUUUUUUGAUAUAGAGGAUUUGUUUUUUACAUGAUAUCUGAAACAAGGUUUCCCUUAAUAGCAAUGUAAUAAUAGGUUAGAUAGUUAGGGAUUGUAUUUUAUGCAAUGGAUUGUAUUUUUUGUAUAUGAUUAUUUGUAUGACAUUAAAUUUUUUGCAAUGGAUUGUAUUUUUUGUA